UGGGGAAUAUUGCACAAUGGGCGCAAGCCUGAUGCAGCCAUGCCGCGUGUAUGAAGAAGGCCUUCGGGUUGUAAAGUACUUUCAGCGGGGAGGAAGGGAGUAAAGUUAAUACCUUUGCUCAUUGACGUUACCCGCAGAAGAAGCACCGGCUAACUCCGUGCCAGCAGCCGCGGUAAUACGGAGGGUGCAAGCGUUAAUCGGAAUUACUGGGCGUAAAGCGCACGCAGGCGGUUUGUUAAGUCAGAUGUGAAAUCCUCGGGCUCAACCUGGGAACUGCAUCUGAUACUGGCUAGCUUGAGUCUCGUAGAGGGUGGUAGAAUUCCAGGUGUAGCGGUGAAAUGCGUAGAGAUCUGGAGGAAUACCGGUGGCGAAGGCGGCCCCCUGGACGAAGACUGACGCUCAGGUGCGAAAGCGUGGGGAGCAAACAGG
rnacentral:rRNA from 1 species